GUGCCUGUAGUUUAGUGGUAAAACUUCGGCUUGUGGAGCCGAUAUCGAGAGUUCAAUUCUCUCCAGGCACCCCA
rnacentral:tRNA from 1 species